CUGGAACGCGCCCCAGGCGCACCCAGAAACCCUUUGUGAACUUAUACCUUACUGUUGCCUCGGCGCUAGCUGGUCCUCCGGGGCCCCUCACCCUCGGGUGUUGAGACGGCCCGCCGGCGGCCAACCCAACUCUUGUUUUUACACUGAAACUCUGAGAAUAAAACAUAAAUGAAUCAAAACUUUCAACAACGGAUCUCUUGGUUCUGGCAUCGAUGAAGAACGCAGCGAAAUGCGAUAAGUAAUGUGAAUUGCAGAAUUCAGUGAAUCAUCGAAUCUUUGAACGCACAUUGCGCCCUCUGGUAUUCCGGAGGGCAUGCCUGUUCGAGCGUCAUUUCAACCCUCAAGCCUGGCUUGGUGAUGGGGCACUGCCUGUAAAAGGGCAGGCCCUGAAAUUCAGUGGCGAGCUCGCCAGGACCCCGAGCGCAGUAGUUAAACCCUCGCUUUGGAAGGCCCUGGCGGUGCCCUGCCGUUAAACCCCCAACUUCUGAAAAU
rnacentral:rRNA from 1 species